rnacentral:rRNA from 1 species
AAAUUUUCUUAAGGAACUCGGCAAAAUCCCAAUGGCCCACCAGGGCAUAUUGGAACACGGGCCUCGACUGUUUACCAAAAACAUAGCCCUCGGCCAAUAUGAAAAUAGAUGUAUAGAGGGUGAUGCCUGCCCAAUGGUUGUAUCUAAAAGCGGUUGAUAAAAGUCGACCUCGUAAGGACAAUUGAAUGGCCGCGGUAACACUGACCGUGAUAAUGUAGCGUAAUCAAUAGCCAAUUAAUUGUUGGCCAGUAUGAAUGGCGCCACGAAGGCCCCACUGUCUUAAGGAAAUUCCCAGUGAAAUUGAAUUCGUAGUGAAGAUGCUACGUCCAAUUUGUUAGACGAAAAGACCCCGUUGAGCUUUACUGGGGCACUUACACGGCCCCGGCCUUCCCGUGUCCGGGAACCGGCCGAAUUUAAAUGGGUGGUUUAGACUAUGUGGCAGCCCCCCGCCGGGGCAGAUGAAACCCCACUCCCCCAUGUCAAAGGGGCUAACCCCCCCCUUGGGGGGGACAGUGUAAGUAGGACAGUUUGGUUGGGGCGACCGCCUUUUAAAGAGUAACGAAGGUGCGCUUAAGGUGCGCAAUUAAUGAGUGAAGCCUGACUGCGAGGGGGACACCCCGAGCAGACACCCCUAAGCCCGCCCGAAGGGCGGCGGUGGGGUGGGCCAUAGUGACCCGUU